GCAUUUUCUGCAGCUCAGUACCCUCUUUUGGGAACCCAUCCAAGCCUCAGGGGCUCAGGGCCGCCGGGAGGCAGAGGCCAGGGUGACUUCAAUAAAACCUGCUGGGAUUAGUGACCGGCUGAGACGUCAGUUUUGACACCCACGACCUGUAUCUAGUAUCUUCAGUAAACCUCUAAGACCGGUGGCUUUCCACCAUCAAAGUGAGUUUCCUCGGGCAUCCUCUUUUUGUCGGCCAUUCCCUCUGCAGUUUCUCCUGUUGUUUUCUGCGGAAAUGACCAUCUGGCGGGACUUCCUACUCAUGACCACGAGAGGGCACAAGAUUUCCAGCUCUCGAGUGACUACAGAGCCACACCCCUCCCGCCAGUCCUUCACGUCCUUCCACCUCCGACUCUACAGCCCCACUUCUGCGUCUCCUGUGCACUACAGACCAGAGAUCGAGAAGGCUGGUGGCGAGUAGUGCGCCCCCUGCUGGGACGUGUGCCCGGCUGGGUGCCUGUGACAUCUGUGGCGCCCCGAGCCCUGCUCCGCAGCAUCGGGUGAGAGCAGUGAGCGUAAGCCUUGCCUGCUGAGACCGUGGUUCCAGCUCUGAAUGACCGACAGAAUUAAAUGGAGUUUAGACGAAUAGGAGGCCCAACGAGGAUUUAUGGGCCAAUGUGAAGGAAUACAAAUUUCACUCUUUUUUCUU
rnacentral:lncRNA from 1 species